rnacentral:snRNA from 1 species
GUACUCACUUCAGCAGCACAUUCACAAAAACUGGAAAGAUACUGAGAAGAUUAGCAUGGUCCACGCACUAGGAUGACACAGAAAUUCAUGAAAUGUUCCACAUUUUC